AAUACCGUAUACGCCCUUCGGGGGAAAGAAUUUCGGUGAGGGAUCGGCCCGCGUUAGAUUAGUUAGUUGGUGGGGUAAUGGCCUACCAAGACUACGAUCUAUAGCUGGUUUGAGAGGAUGAUCAGCAACACUGGGACUGAGACACGGCCCAGACUCCUACGGGAGGCAGCAGUGGGGAAUCUUAGACAAUGGGGGCAACCCUGAUCUAGCGAUGCCGCGUGAGUGAUGAAGGCCUUAGGGUCGUAAAGCUCUUUCGCCUGUGAUGAUAAUGACAGUAGCAGGUAAAGAAACCCCGGCUAACUCCGUGCCAGCAGCCGCGGUAAUACGGAGGGGGUUAGCGUUGUUCGGAAUUACUGGGCGUAAAGCGCACGUAGGCGGAUUAGUCAGUCAGAGGUGAAAUCCCAGGGCUCAACCCUGGAACUGCCUUUGAUACUGCUAGUCUUGAGUUCGAGAGAGGUAAGUGGAAUUCCGAGUGUAGAGGUGAAAUUCGUAGAUAUUCGGAGGAACACCAGUGGCGAAGGCGGCUUACUGGCUCGAUACUGACGCUGAGGUGCGAAAGUGUGGGGAGCAAACAGGAUUAGAUACCCUGGUAGUCCACACCGUAAACGAUGAAUGCCAGUCGUCGGGUAGCAUGCUAUUCGGUGACACACCUAACGGAUUAAGCAUUCCGCCUGGGGAGUACGGUCGC
rnacentral:rRNA from 1 species